rnacentral:ribozyme from 13 species
AAUCCAAAAAGAAAAAACACUUUUUUCUCUUUUACCUUUCAGAAAUUUGUAUUUUGGGAAACUUUCUCUCGAUUAUUCACUUUUUUCUUUUUCUUUUUCUUCUUCCUCUCUUCUUUUUUUCGAACAAUCAAAAUAGAAGGAGUUGAGGGGAGAGAUUGAGAGGAAGAGAGGAGAGAAG